AGGAUUCCUCAGGGGGACAGACUGGUCCGUAAGGCACACAGAGGCCGGUGGGUUCAGGAGGGAGCACACGGGAAGGUGGUGCUUGAGCUGGGUAGAAGCCGUGGGGUGCGAAGUGUGGGCCCCACGGACUGGCUCGACCCAAGUGGGGCCUAGGGGGAGGGUCAGCCACAAAGUGGGAGAGGAGCAGAACACGCACCACUUUUUUUGAUGUUCAGAUGCUUGUGCUGCUCUCCUUGUGGGCCCUUCUUCCUUCCCCGGGGACCUGAAGUUGCCAUGGCAACAAAGCUCCAUUGCAACUGCUGGGGACCAGCAGUAGGAAAUGGGGGCUCGGUGAGCUCAGGGUGGAAACCUCCCCCUACCCAGAGGUGUUACUGCAGGCUUGGGGGUGGGGGAGGGAAUGUAUGCGAGCGAGCGAGCGAGCGAACCAGUCUGGGGUUGGGAAGAUGGCUAAAGGAAAGACCUUCUGGUGGAGGGGAUAGAAAGGAUAAACAUCCACAAGAGUGGAAAUGGGGCUUUCUCCCCUGCUCCACAUCCCCAGGACCCAGUGGGACGCCAUGUUUGAGAACACCAAUCACCCACCACAAGAGCUGCAGGGGAACACAGUGCCAAACCCCCUGCCUGACCCCAUAGGUGACACAAGCUGAGCUCUACCUCUGGAAAUGAACAGGCUUCUUUGCCUCUGCAAGGAGGGCAGAGUUCCAAACCUCUUCCAGCAGUCCCCAAAUUGUCAUUGGCUGCCCCUCUCACCAAUGUCCAUCUUGACCUCCCGACCUGCGUCCCAAUCCCAUCUGAGGCAUCCACGGCAUCCACGUGCAGCAAAGAGGGUCUUGAAGUUCUUCUGAGGAAUGACUUAGAGCAGAAGAGGGAGAAGUACUAUGUGACCUGCUGUGGCCCUGAGCUGUGGCCAUGGCUAACGGUUGGGGAGGACGGUGGUCCUGUACCACCAGUGGGGCUCCAUGAGGGUGGCCUAUACCCCCUGUGGCAGCUUCCCCUCCCUGAGGAGGAGUGUGAUGGGGUGAUGGAGAGGGCUGGAUUGGGGGUAUGGCAUGUGGUGACGUAUGGAGGUAUAUCUGUGGUUGAAAGGCACCCGGGAGAAGGCCUUGCAGCGGGACCCCUGGCAUGGAGGUGGGACCAACGGAAGAGCCCUCCUUCCUGUUCACGACCCCAGUCGUGUUUCUCCUCAGCCUCCCUAGCCAUGCAUUUGAAGAUUUCCUUCCUCUGAAGGGUGAAAACCUAGCUGGGUUGCCCCAUUAGGAUCCCACCAAGAUGCAGCACCCUCGGGUUAGUGAGACUCAAGUGUUUCCUUGUUCAGUAUAAGUACAAGAAGCCACAUCAUCCUGCAUGUGGAAAGGGAGUUCUCAGCCAUUCCUCAGACCCUCCGAGUCCCCGGUCCCCACCUAGAUGAUUCCAUCUCCUCCCCUGGCUCCCUCAUCCAUCCCAACCCCUACCGCAGAAGUGGGGAAGGCCACCUGGCGACUAACUUUCCAUUCUCCUACUGGGGUCCUGCCAGCAAUUCUUGGGAGCUUCUGCCUGAAUCCCAGCUUGGAUGAACGAUCCACUCAUGUGUCCCCAAAUUAUUGUUCUGCCUCUGAAGUUGGUCAGAUUUUGAUUUCUGAGGCCCGGCUGUGAGGAGUGUGCCCACCUCCUGCUUCUAUCCUUUCAAGCUUUUGUUCUCAAGACCUUCCCUAAGCUAACUGAUACUGCAGAGGAAGGUUGAACAGGGUCAGGGCACUUAACACAGAUCUACAGGAAGCAGUGAGGGGCACCAUGUGGGGUGGGAACUGGAGAAAAGAGUCUGUGGUUGAGCCAGGCUUCCCCCCACAGGGGCAGGGGGGAUGUCUCCCCUCACCCCAGGACUACUGCUGACCCCUCUGUCCUGCUCCCUUGUCAUUUCCUCCGUGUCGCCUCUCCAUCACCCCAUCUCUACCUCUUCCUUCCAAUGAUUCUUUUCAGCUUCAACUCACGUUGCUCUUCCCCUCAUGCUCCCAGCACUUCCCAGGUCAACCCUCCGAGAAGCCGGACCCAUUUGCCCUGUGUCGUCCCUUCUCCCAGGCCACAUCUCAAGUUGACUUUCCUCGAUGGUCUGCCCAUAAGUCAGCUGGGACCAGGCAUGGUGCACGGGACUCUGGCUCUCUCUGGGGUCGGACAGUUGUCUUUUGAAGGAACCAUGAGCGUGACACAGCCGCAACUGGCAGGUCUACGAAAAUCCCACGAAUCCGACAGAUGCCCACCGAGCGCCUAUCACAUGCCAGGCGCCGUUCUAGGCCUCGGGUAUGCCAUGAGAAUCUGCUCAUAAGGUGAUAGCGAGAGGGAAUGCGGCAUAUGGCAAGCCAUCUGCAAUACCAACGCCUUGUCGAUGAAAACCUCGCUGGCCCACAAAAAGAAGGAGAUGCUAAAUGUAGUUUUCCGGCGCAGAGCGAUUUAUCUUCAUUCUGGGCAGAAAAGGAGUUGACGGUACUGAGCGAAGAUGAACGAGCGUCACGAAGAGCCGAGGGGCUCCGUCUGUGACAGUGACGGUGGCGGCGCCCCCUCCGCACGCGCCUCGCUCCCCGCCCCCGCUGUUGGGUGGCCCCUGCCGGCAGCGUCCUGGGGGCCCCUUCGGUGGCUUGACUGUCUGAGUGCCUGUGCCUUAAGGGCACAGGAAGCGGGGGAAGCGAGGUGGCGUGGCCGGGGCUGGGGUGGGCCCCCCUCUGAAAUGCUCCCCGCUCUGCGCUUGUGCAGGGGUCAAAGACCCGCGGAAGCCCGGAGAGGAGUGAAAUAAUGGGGGGACACUGACGGUCCCCUUGUUUCUCAGCUGUCAGUCCACUGCCUGUCAUUCCACCUUGGGAGCUUCUGGUCUCAAGGGUCCUUAACCUGUUGGAGCCUACUUCCUCAACUGUAAAAUGGAGAUAAAUUACCUACCUGGGCAGCUGCCCUGGGCACGUAAGACCUGGGAAGACAAUGCAAAAAGUGUAUUAAACCCUGGGAAGCUUA